AUUGAACGCUGGCGGCAGGCCUAACACAUGCAAGUCGAACGGUAACAGGCCUUCGGGCGCUGACGAGUGGCGGACGGGUGAGUAACGCGUGGGAAUCUGCCUAGUAUGGGGGACAACCUGGGGAAACUCAGGCUAAUACCGCAUACGCCCUACGGGGGAAAGCAGGGGAUCUUCGGACCUUGCGCUAUUAGAUGAGCCUGCGUCGGAUUAGCUUGUUGGUGGGGUAAAGGCCUACCAAGGCGACGAUCCGUAGCUGGUUUGAGAGGACGAUCAGCCACACUGGGACUGAGACACGGCCCAGACUCCUACGGGAGGCAGCAGUGGGGAAUAUUGGACAAUGGGGGCAACCCUGAUCCAGCAAUGCCGCGUGUGUGAAGAAGGCCUGCGGGUUGUAAAGCACUUUCGGAUGGGAAGAAAAGCUCAAGGCUAAUAUCCUUGAGUCUUGACGUUACUAUCAGAAGAAGCACCGGCUAACUCUGUG
rnacentral:rRNA from 1 species